rnacentral:rRNA from 2 species
CUUGGUCAUUUAGAGGAAGUAAAAGUCGUAACAAGGUCUCCGUUGGUGAACCAGCGGAGGGAUCAUUACCGAGUUUACAACUCCCAAACCCCUGUGAACAUACCAUUUGUUGCCUCGGCGGUGCCUGCUUCGGCAGCCCGCCAGAGGACCCAAACCCUUGAUUUUAUACAGUAUCUUCUGAGUAAAUGAUUAAAUAAAUCAAAACUUUCAACAACGGAUCUCUUGGUUCUGGCAUCGAUGAAGAACGCAGCGAAAUGCGAUAAGUAAUGUGAAUUGCAGAAUUCAGUGAAUCAUCGAAUCUUUGAACGCACAUUGCGCCCGCCAGUAUUCUGGCGGGCAUGCCUGUUCGAGCGUCAUUUCAACCCUCAAGCCCCCGGGCUUGGUGUUGGAGAUCGGCGUGCCCCCCGGGGCGCGCCGGCUCCCAAAUAUAGUGGCGGUCUCGCUGUAGCUUCCUCUGCGUAGUAGCACACCUCGCACUGGAAAACAGCGUGGCCACGCCGUUAAACCCCCCACUUCUGAAAGGUUGACCUCGGAUCAGGUAGGAAUACCCGCUGAACUUAAGCAUAUCAAUAAGCGGAGGA